UUCUUUAUAGCAUAACAUGCACUAAACUGUAAAUUUAUUGAUAGACCCGAACAACGAAAAUCAGUCUUAAAGAAA
rnacentral:tRNA from 1 species